GAAAAAUUAAUUUCUAUUGUUUCUGUUAUGAUGAGUCAAAUAACCCAGACUAUUUCUGUUCACUUUUGACUGAGUAACUUUAUAAACGUCACACACACAUCAUCAUUAUCAUGUUUGUGUUAUUGAUGGUUAAACAUUCUUCAGUUAUUAAAAACCUGCCUAUUUGUGAAACCAGAACCAGUCCGGAUCAGAACCUUCCGGUUCCGGAGGGGAUUCAGCAUCUGGAGCGUCGCUGAGGAAGAGGAUGCUGCAGCCGAAGAUCAGCGCGGAGUUUCUGCUCGGAGCUGAACAAAGAGAGGAGGCGACACGACUCACGGGGCGCGCGCUCACAGGACGCGUGCGCAUUCACGGGGCGCGUUCACAGGAUGCGCGCGCUGUAGUGAAUGCAGGAGCAGCGAGGAGGAGGAGGAAGGCUGAAUGCGCCUCCUGACUGCGCGCUGUCCUCGACACAUAAAGACAGGAGAAGAUCCGGAGACUGAGAGUGAAGGCAUGGCCCAGCGUCACAAAGGAUCCGGACCGGAGCGGAGACCUUGACAGAAAGAGGCUGCAGACUCCAGAGGAAGAAGAGAGGAGGAAGAGCUUGUAGGUUUCCAUGGCGCCGCUCUGUGCUCCUGCAGCAGUCUGUGUCCAGGUGUCUCCAGGACAUGGCUCUGGAGGACGGAGUGUGACGCAUCGCUGGGCGUGAAGAGUCCUCAGCAUCAGGACCAGCAGCAGAAAGCGGACGGCCCACCGCAGCUACAGCCAGAUGGAGCCUAAUGUGGCUGAGAAACGCCAUCGUACCCGGUCCAAAGGAGUUCGAGGUACGACAACCGACUGAUCAAUCUGGAUAAUAUCCAAACCUAGACCCUAACACCAUGAUCUGCCUCCAGUCCAACCAGUACCAGUACCAGACCCAGUAAAGAUCCAUUACCAGUCCCAGUACCACUCCCAGUAAAGACUAAGUACCAGACUUUAACUUAAAAAGAACUUGUUUGAUUUUCCCUCACAGAUUAAAAUUUUUAAGGUAAAUGUCUUCCUGUUAUUUAGCUGCCACUUCCUGUUUCUGAGUUGGUACUUCCUGUUACUUAGCCGUUACUU